rnacentral:rRNA from 1 species
CAGUAGCCGCGGUAAUACGUAGGGUGCAAGCGUUAAUCGGAAUUACUGGGCGUAAAGCGUGCGCAGGCGGUUAUAUAAGACAGUCGUGAAAUCCCCGGGCUCAACCUGGGAACUGCGAUUGUGACUGUAUGGCUAGAGUGUGUCAGAGGGGGGUAGAAUUCCACGUGUAGCAGUGAAAUGCGUAGAUAUGUGGAGGAAUACCGAUGGCGAAGGCAGCCCCCUGGGAUAACACUGACGCUCAUGCACGAAAGCGUGGGGAGCAAACAGGAUUAGAUACCCCGGUAGUCCCUGUCUCUUAUAC